rnacentral:rRNA from 1 species
CAGUCGAGGGGCAGCAUGGUCUUAGCUUGCUAAGGCUGAUGGCGACCGGCGCACCGGUGAGUAACACGUAUCCAACCUGCCGUCUACUCUUGGCCAGCCUUCUGAAAGGAAGAUUAAUCCAGGAUGGCAUCAUGAGUUCACAUGUCCGCAUGAUUAAAGGUAUUUUCCGGUAGACGAUGGGGAUGCGUUCCAUUAGAUAGUAGGCGGGGUAACGGCCCACCUAGUCAACGAUGGAUAGGGGUUCUGAGAGGAAGGUCCCCCACAUUGGAACUGAGACACGGUCCAAACUCCUACGGGAGGCAGCAGUGAGGAAUAUUGGUCAAUGGGCGAUGGCCUGAACCAGCCAAGUAGCGUGAAGGAUGACUGCCCUAUGGGUUGUAAACUUCUUUUAUAAAGGAAUAAAGUCGGGUAUGCAUACCCGUUUGCAUGUACUUUAUGAAUAAGGAUCGGCUAACUCCGUGCCAGCAGCCGCGGUAAUACGGAGGAUCCGAGCGUUAUCCGGAUUUAUUGGGUUUAAAGGGAGCGUAGAUGGAUGUUUAAGUCAGUUGUGAAAGUUUGCGGCUCAACCGUAAAAUUGCAGUUGAUACUGGAUGUCUUGAGUGCAGUUGAGGCAGGCGGAAUUCGUGGUGUAGCGGUGAAAUGCUUAGAUAUCACGAAGAACUCCGAUUGCGAAGGCAGCCUGCUAAGCUGCAACUGACAUUGAGGCUCGAAAGUGUGGGUAUCAAACAGGAUUAGAUACCCUGGUAGUCCACACGGU